GCCUGGAGGUGGCUGGGAAGAAUCUUUAUGACUGUGUGUUGAACGAGGAUACCUGCACGUAACAGAACACCCUUGUUACACUAGGUGAAAUGGAGCUGUCUGGUUUCUAUGAGGGUCCUGCCAGGAGUCUUGCAGCUAAAUCUACUGUGGUAGCAACGAUCAAAUGUAAACAUUCAAGCAUUUACAUGCAAUUACAUGACUCUGCAAUUAUGUUCUCUCACCGCAGCAAUUCCCCACACAACUCAGGAGACCUGAAGGUCAGUGGGCAUCCUCCGAUACCACGACCAAGCCAACUGCCUCUUUUACAUCCAGAAAUUUGAGAGUGGAUUUCGGUGAGCUACCAGGUGCCUGGCCAGUCGUCAGCUGUAGCUCGCUGACGAGAAAGGACAAAUAGCCAAGCCCAUGCUCCCUCUGGAAUCCCCAGUGAAGACUGGUGAUUCAGCCGGGACUUGAACCUGCGCUCCCCUGACUGUAUGACUCGCUCUUCACACCAUCUGGCCCUUUUACCAGAUGACCCACUUGGGGUUCCCUGAAUAUACAUGUUCUACUUGAUGUAUACAAUAUUCUGUAUAUUUAUUGUUAAA